GAUGAACGCUGGCGGCGUGCCUAAUACAUGCAAGUCGAGCGAACAGACGAGGAGCUUGCUCCUCUGACGUUAGCGGCGGACGGGUGAGUAACACGUGGAUAACCUACCUAUAAUACUGGGAUAACUUCGGGAAACCGGAGCUACUACCGGAUAAUAUAUUGAACCGCAUGGUUCAAUAGUGAAAGACGGUUUUGCUGUCACUUAUAGAUGGAUCCGCGCCGCAUUAGCUAGUUGGUAAGGUAACGGCUUACCAAGGCAACGAUGCGUAGCCGACCUGAGAGGGUGAUCGGCCACACUGGAACUGAGACACGGUCCAGACUCCUACGGGAGGCAGCAGUAGGGAAUCUUCCGCAAUGGGCGAAAGCCUGACGGAGCAACGCCGCGUGAGUGAUGAAGGUCUUCGGAUCGUAAAACUCUGUUAUUAGGGAAGAACAAAUGUGUAAGUAACUAUGCACGUCUUGACGGUACCUAAUCAGAAAGCCACGGCUAACUACGUG
rnacentral:rRNA from 1 species